GGUUCAAGAAGGUGUAGGUACCCUUAUUUGCUGGGCAAUUUUCAAAUUUUCGUGAGACAAAAUGCGCAACAAUAAUUAAUGCUUGAUUUUGUAUGGGAGAGUACUUCAUUAAAUGACAACUCAAAAAAACUUUGAAAAAACCCAAGCUCCCUCAGCAAUAUCCAAACCUGUGACCCUUGAUUACUUGCUCAAAUUCUCUACAAUUGAGAUGUAGAAAAUUUAGUAAUAGAAAUUGUCACUAAAUUGAGUGGGCUGUAGAUGAUGUAAUCUUCUGCAAUAGUCAUGCAUAAACGUAAUUUCAUUACAGAUAUUUCAUAUAAACCAAAUCAAAUCAAUGGUUGGUCCUGAAUGAGGAGUGCGCAAAACUGGAGAACCUGGGCAAAAACCUUGCAAAGCAGAGAAAACCAUCCACCUCAGCCCACAUAUGAUGCCAAGAUUACAAAUCAUACCUGGACAACAUUGGUGGAAGGCUAGGGUCUCCCACUGUGCCAGCCAUUGCAUUAAGAAGUACAGGAUGCUUUUAGCUACCCC